GCUUUUUCUUCCACCGGAGCUUGCUCCACCGGAAGAAAAGGAGUGGCGAACGGGUGAGUAACACGUGGGUAACCUACCCUCGAGCGGGGGAUAACACUUGGAAACAGGUGCUAAUACCGCAUAACAAAGGAAACCGCAUGGUUUCCUUUUGAAAGGCGCUUUUGCGUCACUCGAGGAUGGACCCGCGGUGCAUUAGCUAGUUGGUGAGGUAACGGCUCACCAAGGCAACGAUGCAUAGCCGACCUGAGAGGGUGAUCGGCCACAUUGGGACUGAGACACGGCCCAAACUCCUACGGGAGGCAGCAGUAGGGAAUCUUCGGCAAUGGACGAAAGUCUGACCGAGCAACGCCGCGUGAGUGAAGAAGGUUUUCGGAUCGUAAAACUCUGUUGUUAGAGAAGAACAAGGGUGAGAGUAAAAAGUUCACCCCUUGACGGUAUCUAACCAGAAAGCCACGGCUAACUACGUGCCAGCAGCCGCGGUAAUACGUAGGUGGCAAGCGUUGUCCGGAUUUAUUGGGCGUAAAGCGAGCGCAGGCGGUUUCUUAAGUCUGAUGUGAAAGCCCCCGGCUCAACCGGGGAGGGUCAUUGGAAACUGGGAAACUUGAGUGCAGAAGAGGAGAGUGGAAUUCCAUGUGUAGCGGUGAAAUGCGUAGAUAUAUGGAGGAACACCAGUGGCGAAGGCGGCUCUCUGGUCUGUAACUGACGCUGAGGCUCGAAAGCGUGGGGAGCAAACAGGAUUAGAUACCCUGGUAGUCCACGCCGUAACGAUGAGUGCUAAGUGUU
rnacentral:rRNA from 1 species